CCUACGGGGGGCAGCAGUGGGGAAUAUUGGGCAAUGGGCGCAAGCCUGACCCAGCAACGCCGCGUGAAGGAAGAAGGCUUUCGGGUUGUAAACUUCUUUUCUGAGGGACGAAGAAAGUGACGGUACCUCAGGAAUAAGCCACGGCUAACUACGUGCCAGCAGCCGCGGUAAUACGUAGGUGGCAAGCGUUAGCCGGAUUUAUUGGGUGUAAAGGGCGUGUAGGGGGGAAAGCAAGUCAGUUGUGAAAACUCAGGGCUCAACCCUGAGCCUGCAUUUGAAACUGUUUUUCUUGAGUGCUGGAGAGGCAAUCGGAAUGCCGUGUGUAGCGGUGAAAUGCGUAGAUAUACGGAGGAACACCAGUGGCGAAGGCGGAUUGCUGGACAGUAACUGACGCUGAGGCGCGAAAGCGUGGGGAGCAAACAGGAUUAGAUACCCUAGUAGUC
rnacentral:rRNA from 1 species